UACGUAGGAUGCAAGCGUUGUCCGGAAUUAUUGGGCGUAAAGAGCGAGCAGGCGGUUUGGAAAGUUGGACGUGAAAUUUUAGGGCUUAACCCUAAAGGGUCGUCCAAAACUCCCAGACUAGAGUGCAGGAGAGGAAAGCGGAAUUCCCGGUGUAGCGGUGAAAUGCGCAGAUAUCAGGAGGAACACCGGUGGCGAAGGCGGGUCUCUGGGCCGUAACUGACGCUGAGGAGCGAAAGCAUGGGGAGCGAACAGG
rnacentral:rRNA from 1 species